AAGCGUUAUCCGGAAUCAUUGGGUUUAAAGGGUCCGUAGGUGGACAAAUAAGUCAGAGGUGAAAUCCUGCAGCUCAACUGUAGAACUGCCUUUGAUACUGUUUGUCUUGAGUUAUUAUGAAGUGGUUAGAAUGUGUAGUGUAGCGGUGAAAUGCAUAGAUAUUACACAGAAUACCGAUUGCGAAGGCAGAUCACUAAUAAUUAACUGACACUGAGGGACGAAAGCGUGGGUAGCGAACAGGAUUAGAUACCCUGGUAGUCCACGCCGUAAACGAUGGUCACUAGCUGUUUGGACUUCGGUCUGAGUGGCUAAGCGAAAGUGAUAAGUGACCCACCUGGGGAGUACGUUCGCAAGAAUGAAACUCAAAGGAAUUGACGGGGGCCCGCACAAGCGGUGGAGCAUGUGGUUUAAUUCGAUGAUACGCGAGGAACCUUACCAGGGCUUAAAUGUUAGGUGACAGAUCUAGAAAUAGAUUUUUCUUCGGACACUUAACAAGGUGCUGCAUGGUU
rnacentral:rRNA from 1 species